GUGGCGGAGAAGCAGCUGGGCUGAGCUGUUAAAAGCACAGAGACCGGGGCCAGACUCCUCAGCCUGAAAUCCUGCCUCCACCAAGCACUAGCUGGGUAAUUUCAGAGUUUGUCAAUUCAAGCUUUACAUUCCAAGUUCACUACAAGAAAAACGAAUUCACUAAAAGACAAAAACAAGGCAGUUCAGGUUCUCUGCAACUGACCAGGGUAAGCAGGGGUAAGCUCUCAGAAAAACUCCCCAGAUCUUCAAAUACAAUCAGCUCUCCACCAAGAUGUUCUUUGUUUGUGCUGUGGUUUCUCAUCUCCUUGGGGAAACCACAGCACCCCCAUUUGAGGAAUACAGUUGAUCAAGUCGGGAGGCCAACAGCUGUCUUUGAAAGAAUUGUCUAGUGCUCUGCAAAUGUGUGCUGUCUUCUGAGUCUGCUUGUCCGCUCCCUGGAUGUGUCACCUUGGAAGGUUUAUUUAUCUCCUCUGAUCCCAGUCAUUUUCCUGAUUUGAAAAAUACAUCAGUGGACAGGAGAACGUGUGAAGACUGAAUGAACUAAUGCAGUGAAUAAACUUACAGCAACGACUGGCACAAAGACAAGAAUGGAAAUGGCAGCACACGGUAGUCACCUCAGAACCACUUUCAAAAGGAGAGCCCGCACUGUUGUGUCCCCAGGACACCAGGGACUGCAUGGGCACCUUUUCUGUGCUCCCCAUCAUCACCUAGGCAACCCACCUAUCCUUUCUUGGUGAAGAUGAGCCUCUACCUUUUGUGUAUUCUCCCUUUGUGUUUUCAUCUCACAUGCCCUUCCUCGUCUGAAGUCUUGUGUUGAGGACAAAGCAGCCUAAGACGACUGAUGCAGUCUAAUAAACUGCACCAAGACAAGUGCUCGGCAGCAAAUCUAUUUUCCUGACAGUUGUAAGAUGCAAUCUCCUUGUUGUUGGAGGGUGUCAUGCACAGGGCUGGGCUCCUCCAGUCUGCACAUCCUCCAGAGCAUUGCAGUGUGACAGCCUUCAUUAGAAGAGAAACUAACCCCUGGACAAAAUAUUGCCACCCUGGAAAUUCGGCUCUGUGGGGUGCCAUGAAUAUCUUACCUUCUGACAAACAAGUUUCCUCCAGAACUGACAUAUUCUUGGCCAUGUGACAUGAUCUAA